GAAAAUCAUGGGAACGCUUGGAACUUCGUUGCCCAGCUCGCGGGCGUGCUCAGCAUAGUUGCGGCCGAUGCACCAGAUGUUGCGCGGCACAAAAAGAGGUGGGGACAUAGAAGCUGCUUCCGAAGCACCGGAGGAGUGACGCACUGUUGUGCAGGCGGCGCAUCGAAGUGCGUUCAAGGCAAGGUGACCACCUGCAACCACGAAUUGUGUAGGGUUUUGCGCUGGAACAAGGGGGUGAACGCUGGAGGCGAAUGGAGAAGAGGAGGGCAGAUAAACGAAUGAAGUUCAUUUCCGAAUGUUGAAAUCAUGACAUGAUCAAUAACGCGUUGGAGCGGGUGUAAGUCUCACGCGCAUGUCGGAUUCUUCAGUGUCC
rnacentral:lncRNA from 1 species